GACGAACGCUGGCGGCGUGCUUAAACACAUGCAAGUCGAACGGUCCUGUUUUUGAAGCGCUUCGGCGUGGAGGGGACGGGGCAGUGGCGCACGGGUGAGUAAUGCGCGAGGACCUGCCCGCAGGAGGGGGACAGCAGUUGGAAACGGCUGGUGAUACCCCGUAGGCCGGGAGGUGAAAGGGCGGAGACGCCCGCCUGCGGAUGGACUCGCGUCCUAUCAGCUAGUUGGUGAGGCAACGGCUCACCAAGGCGACGACGGGUAGCCGGCCUGAGAGGGUGUCCGGCCACACUGGAACUGAGACACGGUCCAGACUCCUACGGGAGGCAGCAGUGGGGAAUUUUGGGCAAUGGGGGAGACCCUGACCCAGCGACGCCGCGUGAGGGACGAAGGCCCUUGGGUCGUAAACCUCUUUUGCAGGGGAAGAAGAAGAUGACGGUACCUUGCGAACAAGUCCCGGCUAACUACGUGCCAGCAGCCGCGGUAAGCACGAGAGUA
rnacentral:rRNA from 1 species